ensembl:rRNA 5S_rRNA 5S ribosomal RNA
UUUUUUUUUCCUACCAUUUUGAAUGCACCUGCUCUGAUCGAGUCUUGGAAGCUAAGCAGAGUCAAGCCUCGUUAGUAUUUGGAUGGGAGACAACUUGGGAAAAUUUGGGUGAUGUAGGUA